rnacentral:rRNA from 1 species
AGAACGAACGCUGGCGGCAGGCUUAACACAUGCAAGUCGAACGCAUCCUUCGGGGUGAGUGGCAGACGGGUGAGUAACACGUGGGAACGUACCUUUCAGUUCGGAAUAACCCAGGGAAACUUGGGCUAAGACCGGAUACGCCCUUUUGGGGAAAGAUUUAUCGCUGAGAGAUCGGCCCGCGUCUGAUUAGCUAGUUGGUGAGGUAAAGGCUCACCAAGGCGACGAUCAGUAGCUGGUCUGAGAGGAUGAUCAGCCACAUUGGGACUGAGACACGGCCCAAACUCCUACGGGAGGCAGCAGUGGGGAAUAUUGGACAAUGGGCGCAAGCCUGAUCCAGCCAUGCCGCGUGAGUGAUGAAGGCCUUAGGGUUGUAAAGCUCUUUCGGCGGGGACGAUAAUGACGGUACCCGCAGAAGAACGCCCGGCUAACGUACGUGCCAGCAGCCGAC